rnacentral:rRNA from 1 species
GACGAACGCUGGCGGCGUGCCUAAUACAUGCAAGUAGAACGCACAGUUUAUACCGUAGCUUGCUACACCAUAAACUGUGAGUUGCGAACGGGUGAGUAACGCGUAGGUAACCUGCCUGGUAGCGGGGGAUAACUAUUGGAAACGAUAGCUAAUACCGCAUAAUAUUGAUUAUUGCAUGAUAAUUGAUUGAAAGAUGCUAUUGCAUCACUACCAGAUGGACCUGCGUUGUAUUAGCUAGUAGGUGAGGUAACGGCUCACCUAGGCGACGAUACAUAGCCGACCUGAGAGGGUGAUCGGCCCCCCUGGGACUGGGACACGGCCCAGACUCCUACGGGAGGCAGCAGUAGGGAAUCUUCGGCCAUGGACGAAAGUCUGACCGAGCAACGCCGCGUGAGUGAAGAAGGUUUUCGGAUCGUAAAGCUCUGUUGUAAGAGAAGAACGGGUGUGAGAGUGGAAAGUUCACACUGUGACGGUAUCUUACCAGAAAGGGACGGCUAACUACGUG